GAUGAACGCUAGCUACAGGCUUAACACAUGCAAGUCGAGGGGAAACGACAUCGAAAGCUUGCUUUUGAUGGGCGUCGACCGGCGCACGGGCGAGUAACGCGUAUCCAACCGGCCCAUCACUUGGGAAUAACCUUGCGAAAGUAAGACUAAUACCCAAUGAUAUCCCACGAAGGCAUCGGAAUGGGAUUAAAGAUUUAUCGGUGAUGGAUGGGGAUGCGUCUGAUUAGCUUGUUGGCGGGGAAACGGCCCACCAAGGCACCGAUCAGUAGGGGUUCUGAGAGGAAGGUCCCCCACAUUGGAACUGCGACACGGUCCACACUCCUACGGGAGGCAGCAGUGAGGAAUAUUGGUCACUGAGCGAGAGCCUGAACCAGCCAAGUAGCGUGCAGGAAGCCGGCCCUAUGAGUUGUAAACUGCUUUUAUGAGGGAAUAAAGUGGGUCACGUGUGACUUUUUGCAUGUACCUUAUGAAUAAGGACCGGCUAAUUCCGUG
rnacentral:rRNA from 1 species